rnacentral:lncRNA from 1 species
UGGGGUCUUAUUUUCAAGAAUACCCAGUCAUCCACCCGAAUAUUAGCUGGCCUCCUCUUCCGGUUUGCUUGCUUAACCAUCAUCUCCUGUGCCCUUGCUAAGUGAAAUCUGAGCUGCUGCAAUGCUUCAUCACGAGUUUGCAGCUCUUGGGCCACAGCUUCUACCAUCGUUUCUCCCGACACAAACCUGGUCAAAGAUGGGGGUGGUCUACCAUAAACUACUUCGAACGGAGUGCAUUUGGCCACUCCUUGGUAGCUGGUAUUAUACCAGUACUCUACUCAUGGCAAUAUCGUGUUCCAGCUCCUUGGUUGCUCCGAGCAAAAACAACGCAGGUACCCUUCAAGCACCCUAUUCAAUACUUCCGUUUGGCCAUCGGUUUCUGGAUGAUAAGAUGUACUCAUUUGUAGUUGUGUCCCCUGCAGUUUGAUCAAUUCUUUCCAAAACAAGCUGAGGAAAAGCGGGUCUCGGUCGCUGACGAUGGAUUUUGGCACACCGUGUAGUUUAACCACUUCCUUUACGAACGCUUCUGCCACGACUCUUGCGGUGUAGGGAUGUUUAAGGGGAAUAAAGUGUCCAUAUUUACUCAACCGGUCAACCACAACUAGAAUAGCAUCAUACCCUUUUGAUUUCAGCAACCUAACAAUGAAAUCCAUGUUGAUGUCCUCCCACACAGCCUGAGGCACCGACAGUGGUUGUAACAGCCCCUAAGGUGAGGAGGUUAAGUAUUUGUGUUGCUGACACACUAAGCAUUAUGCUACGAACUCUGUAAUGGCUUUCUUCAUCCCAAUCCAAUAUAGAGACUGAGCGAUUCUCUUGUAAGUGCGAUAAACACCCGAAUGGCCCCCCGUUGGGGUGGUAUGAUAUUCCGCCAUUAGUCUUGGGACCUAAUUCGAUUUAGUCGAAUUAACCAGCCUCCCCUUGUAAUGUAAUUUCCCAUUUUCCAGUGUAAAAGCUGAAUGUUUAUUCGGGUCUUUCGUACUAGUCGCUACAAUUUUUCUCAGCUCGUCGUCUUCCUCCACUUUGUUUACCACCUCCUGGAAAUCCCUCCAAUACGGCUUUACCACCGCAUUAAGCUCUUUUCUCGUCUCCUGGGUCUAGGACCCAUCGGCCUCUUCUGGCUCAUCCCUCUCCUUUCGUGAAAGUGCAUCGGCCACUCUGUUCGUGUCCCCUUUUUUGUACACGAUCUCAAAAUCGUAACCCAGUAAUUUGGCAAUCCAGUGCUGUUGGGCAGGGGUAGUUAUCCUCUAUUCCAACAAAAACCUUAAACUUUUCUAGUCAGAAUGUACCACAAAUCUCUGUCCCCUCAAGUAUGACCUCUAAUGCUGCACCGCCAUCACUACCGCCAUAAGCUCCUUCUCAUAGAUGGCUUUCCCCAAUGUCCCAUCUGAGAGGGCCUUACUGUAAUAGGUUAUCGGCCUCCUCCUCUGUGUCAGUACGACUCCCAUCCCUACCCUUGACGCAUCGCACUCGACAUGGAACGACAACGUAAACUCGGGCAAGGCAAGUACCGAAGCUGUCGUCAUUGCGAUCUUCAGUCGACCCAUUGCCUCUCGCGUCGUUUCUGUCCACCGAAAAUUUCCCUUUUUCGUCAUCUCUGUGAGUGGUCUCGCGAUCUUGCUGUAAUCCUUCACAAACCGGUGGUAGUACCCCGUGAGGCCCAAAAAUCCCCUCAACGCCUUUAUCGUCUUCGGUUCUUCCCAGUUGACUAUCGCCUCCACUUUCCCUUGGUCCAUCUCGACCCCCUUCUGUGUUAUCAGAUGCCCCAGAUACCUUAUGGAAGUUUUUCCAAACUCACUCUUCUUUCGAUUGGCUACCCACGCUUGUUUCUACAGUCGCCCCAACACCACGACUACGUGUUCCAAGUGCUUCGCCCACGACAUACUAUAGACGAGAAUGUCGUCGAAGAAGACGAGAAUGAAUUUCCUUAAGUACAGUCUGAACAACUCAUUCAUGGCGCUCUAGAAUGUUGUCGGCGCGUUGGUGAGGCUGAAGGGCAUCACCAGAAACUCAUAGUGCCCUAAGUGCGUUUUGAACGCCGUUUUCUGGACAUCCUUCUCCGCCAUUCGGAUUUGAUGGUACCCCGACUUGAGGUCCACUUUCGAGAAGUACUGCGCACCACCCAACUCGUCCAACAGUUCUUCGAUAAUGGGAAUGGGGAAUUUGUUCGGAACGGUGGUCCGAUUCAGAGCCCGGUAGUUGAUGAAGGUUGAGAAACAGUUAUUUUCAUAUGUCAAUUUGGACCAAAUUACACCCUUUACUACUCGGAAUGAGCUUAGAAUCAAGCAAAACUCAAUAAAUGAGUCUGAAGAGAGUCAAAAACUGUUUUUAGCAAUUUUAUGCUUAUUUUGCAUUGUUUUGUAGCUAAUUUGAGAAAAGUAAAGAAUGGAGUUGAAGAUGAAGGUCUUAGACUCAAGAAAAGGAAAGAAAGGUUGAAGAUAUGCAUAAAAGUUACCCAGUCAACCAGAAAAGUCAACCAGUCAACCAGGAAAAGUCAACCAGUCAACCAGAACACAGUUGACCAGCGCCAGGCGGUUGACCGUGGCGCCGGGCGGUUCUACGGCUUGAGGGAAACCGCCCGGCGGUGAAAUUGGGCGCCGGGCUGUUGUCAGAUGGGCUUGGACCUGUUUUAUGUUAUUUUUUAUGAUCUGUUUGGGCCUGGACUUGUUUUAUGUCAUUUUUAUGCCCUAUUUAAAGGCCAGAACGUCUUAGGGUUUGUAUCUUUUGACGGCUUAGGCACAGAAACACACUUUUCACCCCUUUGGGGCUAGAUUUGGAGAUGGUGACAACUCUCCUUUUCUCCUUUUUAGNNNNNNNNNNNNNNNNNNNNNNNNNNNNNNNNNNNNNNNNNNNNNNNNNNNNNNNNNNNNNNNNNNNNNNNNNNNNNNNNNNNNNNNNNNNNNNNNNNNNNNNNNNNNNNNNNNNNNNNNNNNNNNNNNNNNNNNNNNNNNNNNNNNNNNNNNNNNNNNNNNNNNNNNNNNNNNNNNNNNNNNNNNNNNNNNNNNNNNNNNNNNNNNNNNNNNNNNNNNNNNNNNNNNNNNNNNNNNNNNNNNNNNNNNNNNNNNNNNNNNNNNNNNNNNNNNNNNNNNNNNNNNNNNNNNNNNNNNNNNNNNNNNNNNNNNNNNNNNNNNNNNNNNNNNNNNNNNNNNNNNNNNNNNNNNNNNNNNNNNNNNNNNNNNNNNNNNNNNNNNNNNNNNNNNNNNNNNNNNNNNNNNNNNNNNNNNNNNNNNNNNNNNNNNNNNNNNNNNNNNNNNNNNNNNNNNNNNNNNNNNNNNNNNNNNNNNNNNNNNNNNNNNNNNNNNNNNNNNNNNNNNNNNNNNNNNNNNNNNNNNNNNNNNNNNNNNNNNNNNNNNNNNNNNNNNNNNNNNNNNNNNNNNNNNNNNNNCCAGUAGUUAAUAUUAGGCCCUUUUCGCCGAGCGAUCGGGUUAAGGAGAGGCUAAGAAAGUCGCAUAACAAUUGAAUCAAUCUAAUAUUCAAGGGUAGUAUGUAAGAGAGAGCGGAAUAGAUGAAAUUGUAAACCCCCAACAACAUCCAUUCAUCCAUUGUUUUGUGUUUAACCUCAAUUGAUCAAAUUGCAUUCAUGUUUAUCUUUCUGCACUUUAUAAAAAUCCCAAAAUAUUAUUUUUAUAAUCUUGAUUGGUUAAGCAAAAACACAACAGUUUAGUGUCGUGAGUCUCUUGGGAAAACGAUACUUGGACUUACCAUUUUAUUAUCACUUGAACGAUUUGGUACGCUUGCCAAUUUGUCAACAGUAGUCGAUACAAAACCUCCAGCUCCUGUCUUUCUUCUUCACCAGGAUUACCGGGCUUGAGUAUGGACUUAUACUGGGGCGUAUAAUUCCUGCAUGUAACAUUUCAGCCACCUGGCAUUCGAUUUCUUCCUUCAUGGCGUGGGGAUAAUGAUAGGGGCGCACGUUGAUGGGAUCUGUCCCUUCUUUUAAAAGAAUCUGGUGUUUCUCAUUUCUAUUAGGUGGCAGCUUCUGGAUUUCCCGAAAUACCCCUGGGUAUUGUUUCAGAAUUCCUUCUAUGUCCUCUUCUUUCUCCUUAUUUAAUUUCCCUUCUUCUUCUUUUCCACUAUUUCCCUCUUUACCCUCCAUACUCCAGACUAAAGCACAAGCUUCCAUUUCCUCCAAUUUUAACAAAUGCUCAGGCUCUAUCACCCUCCUCUCCAACCUCGGGUCUCUGGUUAUGGUACGCUUCUUCUCCCCUUGCCAGAACGACAUGGUGGAUUUUCCCCAGUCCACCGUGAUCUCACCCAACUUAGCCAACCACUCAACUCCGAGAAUCAUGUCUACACCCCCUAGUUCGAACAAAUAAAAUUUCUCCGUGAUCUCGACGUCCCCCAUGCAAACCACCACCCUCGGACAACACCCUCGCGUCUUCUUCCGUUGACCAUCCCCCAAGCUGACGUGAUAUGGGGAUGUGUCUUCUUGCUCGAGUUUCAGCUCCCUCACCAGCUCGUGACUAACGAAGUUGUGACUCGUGCCACUGUCCACCAGUAUCAACACCUUUCUCUCUCCCAUUCGCCCCUGCAGCUUCAAGGUUUUUUGUUGGGUCAAGCCUCCGGCAGAGAAAGCCGACAACUCCAUGCAUGGUUGUUCUGUCUCCGCCCCUGUCUCUCCUUCAUCUCCUUCUUCGUCCUCGGCCAACAACACCACCCUCAAGCUCUUCUCAGGGCAUUGGUGCCCGGGACUAAAGGUCCCCCAUAGUGGUAACAUAUACCCUCCUCCCGAGCUUCAAGAACUCAGGAUAAGGCAAGUUUCUUAAGCUCCGAUUCCGACUGUCCCCGUCGCCGUAACCUCCGCUCCUCACGGGUUCACUCCCUGUCGCCGGGUUGCGCUUCAUCGACCCAACACUCUCUGUCGGUGUCGCUCGAACCAUGCUACUCCUAGUUGCUCCGUCCUCGCCACCAUUGCUCCUCCUCCUGAUGGUCGUACCCACGCGGGGCUAGUCUUAGAUGUCGUCCAUCCCAUCAACCCUAGACCACGAAGUGCUUCCUCCACGUCACGUGCAAUCUUCAUCGCCGUCAUCAAAUCGCGGGGUUCAUGUAGUCUCAUCUGACAUCGUAACUCCUCGCGUAACCCCGCUAUGAAAUAACCCAAUAAUUGGUUAUCAGAAAACUCCUUUGUCUGCCCCGCCAAUGCUUCGAAUUCUUUCACGUACUCCUCCACGGUGGUUGUCUGCCUCAUCGUCGUCAUUCGUUCAUAAAUUCCCCUACGGUGGCGACUCUCGAAUCGGAUCAGCAAUGCUUCCUUCAACCCCUCCCAAGUUCAAUCACUCGCCUUGUCUUUCCAGAACUUGAACCAGUAAGCAAUGCUCCCCUCCAUGCUGAUAUGAGCCAAUUCGACUUUCUCCACUUCUGCUACCUUCUGAAUCUCAAAGAACUUCUCUGCUCUAUUAAUCCAAUACAGAGGAUCAGGUCCUUCGAAUAUGGGUAACUCCACUCGUCGUCUCCAAUUAGGGCUGUUGUUUGAUAGCUCUCCCUCUUUUCCCCCUCCUUCGUUCCCGCGCUGGUUCCCUCCACUAUGGUUCACUGAAUCCUGACUUUCAUCCGAGCCUGAUUCCCCUUGCCUGCUAUGCGUUCCCAUCAACUGUAACAAUUCUUGAAUGUCUUUGCGCAUCGCGAUCGAUUCUUGGCGAUUCGCUGCCGUCUCCGCCUUCAAAUCGUCGACUGCCAACUCCAGGUGCUCCAUCUUCCCCUCAACCUUGACCAUUCUCCCCUCUAUCUCUUUUGCUUUCCUCCGAUCUGAUCUGGCAGGUCGGACCACUUUGAUAGGGAUUCAGAUGAGAAUCCUAACCAACACUCGUGCCACUCACUUACUAACAGAAACACAGACUAGAAUGGGAAGAAAAGAAUGGAAUUUUAUUCUCAACAAGAAUCAAGAAUGCAAUGUACAGAGGAGCUUAACCUCCUUCACCAGUUUCAAUGACCGGUCAAACAACAAUUACAAAAAGCCACCCCCUCCUAAACACAUGAAAGGUCCUUAUAUAGACCUUUAACCCGCUCUUAACUAACUGUUAGGCAGUUAGUUUAACUGUUAGUCUGUCUUACCCGUCUCCUUUCAUACACCCUCCAAGUCCUAACACUACAUCCACUUCCUCACAUGCUUUGAUAAAUACUUAACUAAGAAAAACAUCAAGCAAAUUGAAAACAGUUCUAUCCAACAUGCUUACAUCUAUGAGUGAAAAAUGUGUUCAAAUCAACUAAAAAACUACAUUAAAAUGCUACUUUUGAGUUGAUUAAGUUGCGAACACAACAACUACAACCCAUGAACUGAAAAGCUACACAUUUCUUCCUUGAACAAUUUUGAACAGGUCAAGUUUUUUGCAUCAUUACUGACAUUUUCUUCUCCCUCGUUUCUCAUAAGUCAUUACACAAACUAUUCCUUGAUUGUGUAUUUAUAAAUUACUGGAACUUAGAAAAUUUAUGAUAGGAAACUAACUAAUUGUUACUAAUUGUCAAAACAGAAAUUUGGACAAAUUCAACCAAUUUCUUUGCCAAAAGAUAGUCUCUUCAAAAGUUGUUUGAUAAAACAACAACAAAAGUCUUAUCCCAUUAGCUGAUGUUCAGUAAAACCCUAAACAAAAAAAUAAAUUGUUGAGUUUGAGGUACAUAUCUUUCUAUUAUAUUCAUUAUAAACCAUUAAACUCCUAGGUUUCUGUCAUUAAGGAAAAUCUAUUUCUGAAAACUGGUUGUUAGUUACUCAAAAGCGUUAAAAACCAUUUUCUUAAAAUGGAUGACACCUUGUUCCUGUUUCUCUUCUUUGGUUGUACUUGUAAUUAAAUCAACAAAAUAUACUUUUACACAAGGAUGUCAUAUUUCAAUUGAAUGUAUUGUCAAAAAAUGACAGAAAAAGAGACAAAAAGGAUUCAUUUAUUUGUCCAUCUGUUAUUGAUUGUGUAAUUUAUAGGAAUUUAUAUAAUACAAUCUUCCUAAAAUCAAUGCAAAUAUAAGGUACUACAGUUUAGCUUGUGUCUGUUAACUAAUAUUAUGUAUCAAUAUCUAAUACUAACACAAUGGAAAGGAAUUUUAGCCUCCACAUAUUGAUAUAGUGGCAUUCUGGGACUACAGUAGAGACUAUAGAUCAUUGUGAAAAUAAUUGUCAACCCUCAACAUAGUUUAUCAAAAUUGAUCACCUAUGGAGAUAUUAUUAGAAAAUUGACUUUAUACCUUAUCCCGCUCUAGUUUCUGCAGAACUCUCUCUAGCUCUUUUCUCUUCUUCUUUUUCCGCUUUUCUCAGGACAACGUAAGUUGUAAAAACAAAUCUCCUUAUGGAAAAUGAAAUGACACAACUAGUGAACAUUAAUAUACCAUUGUCUUUCAUUUUCUUCAGCAACUCGCUUUGCUUUAAAGAGUCUCUUACUUGCUUGAAUCCUCUCCUGCAUGCAAAGCUAUAAAAAGGUUAUAAAAAAAUCUAUACUGGUAGGUUGGAUGUCUAACUGCAAGAGAUAAACCAAUAAAAUCACGCUACCUUUAUGAUUAGGGAAACCAACUUGUUCAGUGGAUAUAAAUUCUUUCAGAUACAAUUUGCUCACACAAUUAAAAUAGAUGAAAUAAUUGACUAUUACUUUUGGGCCAAAUAGAAAGACUUAUGUUAAUCUACAUUAGAACUUGAAUUCUAUUGGCAUAAUAUACAAAAGUGUGAGGAAUGAUUGACUUAUUAUCAGUGGAAUUCAUCCUCGUCGAUAUUUUAUCAAGACAGUUUCGUCACAUGAAUUGUCAAUUUUUAUUGAAUGUUAUGCUAAGACUAGUGAAGAGAAAGAUGUCUCUACUUUAUAAACCUCGAUCUGUAUUACUUGUAAACCUCGAUCUAUAUAGUGGAUUUGCUUUUAAUCUAAGGUUGAUUAAAAGGACAUUGGAUGUAGGCAUUGAGGACAAACCAGUAUAAACCUUAGUGUGGUUCUCUCUAUCCUUUAUCUCUUUAAUUUCUUUACAUUCUUUAUUUGCUUGUGUUCCAAGAAAGUUUUAAAGAUUUAAAAGAUUUAAAUAUUUUGAAAAAAGUUUCAAAAGAACAAUUUUUAUUAUGAAAAACCAAUUCAUCCCCCUCUUGGUUGAUAAAUAAGGCCUAUCUUUUUCUAUAGUGGUCAUCCUACGUGAAACAUUCGGAGGAGGUGUUCAUCCCUUGUGGGUUACAAGGGAAGUGAGUUUCAUCUCCUGGGUUAACAAGAGAGGUGUUUUAACCUUCAACUUGUUUAUUUUCUUUGUGAUUGUAAAAUUUUGUUGGUUUGUUCUAGUGAAGUGUUAAUUCUCGGUUGAGAUUGUGGACGUAGGAUCUCUGUGAUCUGAACUAGUAUAAAAUUACCUGUGCAACUUUCUCUCCUUAAAUUUAUUUAAAUCGCUUUAAGGUAUUUUUAUAUUUACGAGAAAAUUAUUAAAAGAAUGAUUUGCGAUAAGAAACCAAUUCACCCCCCUCUUGGUUUGUUGAAUGCGUUAACCAUUCCGCUACAUUGCUUUGUGUCAACACCAAAUUUCGUCCGGAUGAUUAAAUAAUAUAUGUUUUUUGUUUUUCUUAUUUUAUUUUAUUUUAUCUUAUUUGCAUUUUAACUUUCAUUAUUCUACUUUUAUGUUAGUUUUUUUUUUUUAUUUUUUAUUUUAGUUUUUAUUUUACUUUCUAUUAUUCUCUUUUACAUUAGUUUCUUUUUGUUGUUUAAUUUAUUUUUAUCGGUUCUCUUACUUUAAUUUUUAUGUUAAUAAAACAAAAAACCUAAGAAAAAAAAAGAAAAAAAAAGAAAAAAAAAAGAAAAAAAGAGCAAAAAAUCACAAAAGUCAACUCUGCUUUCCUUUUCGUUUUUUCACGCAUGCUAUUUCCUUUUGGUGCAAAUCUUUUGUUGUGCUAUGCAUGCACCUGCAAUCUUUUGAAAGAGGAAAUACAACAGAAUAGGGUGGCUUGGCUGGGUUGCAGGAAGCAACCAUUCCACAGGCACACCAUAUCCCCUUUUGGGUGCGAAUAUUGUGUAUGGACCGACGCUUUGAACUAGUUUAGCAUGGGAGCAUGAAAGAUGGUGGAAGAGUGGCAGAGUGAUUGCAGUCGUCUUUGGCAGAGAAAGCAAAAAAAAAAAGAAACAAAAAUGCAUCUCCAUGUUAUGAGAGGGCAGCGCGAGUAUUGAAAAAAGAGGACACUACUCUCAACUUGACCUUUCAUUCUCUACUCAACAGAAUCCACUUCGAUUGCUUCCUCUCGCCAGAAUUUUCUCUCGCACCUGCAAUAACAUUGGCAACAAGAAAUACAGACUCAGUGAAGGAAAGAAAGGGCAAACAGGGAGAAAAACGAAUUUUUUUAAGAAGAGCGAGAAAAGGGAGAACGAAUGGGGAAAAAGAAAGUCAGCCACACAGAGAAGAGAAAGUAUUGCACACAAGGUUGACAAUAGCAAACGGAUCUCCAAGAGGUACGCAAUGCCUUGCACUCCAUGUUUCACUGAGUUCUUUGCUUGCCCUUGAACAUCCUUUUGUUACGUUGCUGCUAUGCUGCUAUGUUUGCAUAUGAUUGUUGAUGAAUACAUUCCUACUAUGUGGUGGAUAUUUGUAUAUGAUAUUGUGGCCUGAGUCUUUCCCAUUCUCCAUCACUAUCCAAUCCUCAAUCAUAUUCCAUCAUAAACUUGAAACCAAUAUGUGUUCAAUCACCAUCAUCUUCACUUUCUAUAAUAAUCUCCAUUAAUCUCCAUUGUUACCGAACACCACCGUCAACCCAUAUCCACUCCUUGAUUCCUCCGCUGUCGAAUGGCUUCCUUUACGUGUUUCUACCACUAAAUAUCCCCAUUUUCGCCACUCUUGUCACACCAUGUUCAUAGGUCCUGCAUUUAAAAAAAAGGAAAAGGCCAAGUGAAUCCAAUAAUACCUCAACAUGACAACACCUUUGCCUUUUUCAAACUACGUCCAGAAAAGAAACAAAACUAAACAGAUCCCCUCAAUCUAUUCCAAGUCCUUUCCGCUGAAGCAAAAUUCCAGCAAGCCAUAAGCCAAGUUCUUACAAUCAUCGACCAUAACCACAACAAGAGGUAAUGCUAAUCAGGAAAUAAGUUCGUCUUACACCAACCUUGAAGAAUUUAAACUUUUUGAAGAAAAGCAUACGCAUUGAAGUCAAGGGGGGCAAUAUCGGUCACUUAGACCUUCAAAAAUGCAUUCAGGAAGGAGUGUGGGAGUUUGUUGAGUUGGUUAAGGGUGGAGAUCUAAACAUUAAGCAAUCUUUGCUUUGUGUUUUUCUUCCUUUUUCUUUAUCUAUGCUUGAUGUUUUGAAUAACUGCAAUAAUUGUUGUAUAUUGAACCCUAGGGUAGAAAACAUGUUAUAUCUGCCUGGGAAUCUUCUGGUUGUUUUGCAGGUGAAGGUUUGGGUGUGCAUGGCGUUCUCCCUUCACACACACACACUUUACGCAUAUCAUGAGUGGGGCCCUAUACCCGGGUCUGAGUGUAGCCUAGAAAUAGAGGGGUUGUGUAACGGUGCCAUUUGGGACAUACCUCCUGUUUGGCUAUCGUGAGAACCCCAACUAGAGUCUGUUCUCUUCAUUUGUCUCUACGCAUCUAGUUGAUCACUUGACUGUUGUGGAGAUGCUGUGGAGGGGGCCAUAGCUCUAGUGACCAUUGAUCCUUAGGCUCAGGGAACCGUCCUUGUGAGAUUUCAUAUACUUGACCUUGAAUCUAAAAUGUUGAACUGAUGAGUCGAUAUUUUAUUGAUUUCACUUAGUUUAUUGUGCUAAAAUUAAUCACGGAAUUGGGCUUAAUUGUCCGGUAUUUUCCCGUUUUUCCUAAUUAUGCUUAAUUUGACCGGAAAUUCUAAUUUUAAUUAAUUUGAAUUUUCUGAGCUAAUUAUUUGCAUUAUUAUUUUCAGGGAAAAUUUUGGAAACACAAUUUGGGACAUUUGAAGGACAAUUAGAGUUAUUUUGGGCUGAAAAGAAAUAACAAUUAGGUCAAAAGGUAGAGGAUUUAUUUUUGAGGUGCAAUUAGAAAAACAAAAUUGUAACAGAUGGCUUGUCCAGCAACUUAUGCACAUGCCACGGCCUAGCAAUGUGAAUUCAAUUCUUGAAGAAAGGAAGAAACUCACGAGCUCAAUAAAAAAGCUGGACAUCCAUUGAUUUUUUUCUACAUCCAACAAGGGCCCAUGUGCAUAUGAAAAGGUGGUGUGUCACGGAGAAGGAGGCUACAACACGUGGUGGCAGCAGAGUUACAUCCAGUUUCGCACCCAGUCCAUUUUAAAACAAAUAGAAGCAGUUGCAACCAAUUAAAUUAUUCAUCCAGCGGGCUUCUAGGCUACGUCCAGCAAACAAAGAGUUUGGAGAGGUGCUUGGAGAAAGAGUAGCUGGUGCUUCAGUUGAAUGAAAAAAAACCUGUUACGACCCAGUCCAGUACAUGAAAAGUGGAGGUGCAUCCAGCACAUUUGAAGCACACAACACACACACAUGAGGCCCAUACGAAAGGAGAGGCUUCAUAUUUUUAAGGUGUGUGCUUAGGAGAAUGGACGGUGCAUCCAGCAAGUAUUCAUUGACACAGUUCAUGGCCUGCAAAGUUGGAAGCUCACGUAGAUGGUGUCAUAGCUGGAGGGGUGCAGCGGUUGAAAUGUGCUAUUGGGCUUGCUUUAGAACACACACACAGCAGUGCAGCAACACAUGGUCUGCAUGUUGAGCAACAUCCAGCUUUGAAGCCACCACGGAGGUGCAGCGGAGCCCAUCAAAUUUUAAAUGAGGUGUCCAGAAAUUUUGGAAGCAACCCACAGCCCAUGGACAAUUUCUUAGAGUGUCUAGCAAUGCAUGGGAGAAUGAGUAUUAGGUAGGGUAUUCAAUUAGAAGGGGGUGUGCUGUCACAGGGGGCAGCCACCACUUGCUUUAGGCCAUUUUUCUUGGCAGAUUUCUAGCUUUGAACGAUGACACCACAACCUGGGGAUGAGAUUUGUUUUCAAUCAACACAUUGCAUUGUCCUUUUUAUCAUUUAACCAGUACUCUAUUGAUAAUGAUUUUCUUUGAUGAUGAGCACACGUUUCCAAUUGCUAGAAAGUUCUUUUUUUUUUUUUUUUACUUUGAGCACGCUGGCAGUAGCCACUGUUGCAUGCUAUCUACAUUUUAAAUUCAUGGUUUAGAUGGAUGCAUUUUUAUUUUUCUUGGUGAAUUCACGUGGACAUUCAUUUGGUUGGUGGAGAUUGUGCUGUCACGGUCUUGAACAGCACACGGUCAUGGCAUGCAAAGUUUACCAUUUCUUUUGCUUUAAUGNAGUAAAAAGUAGAUUAGGUAGAGUAGAUGUUGCUACGUGGUGAUGGGACGUUUUACAGCUUAGACUGGCUAGUUUCUCUUUAAUUUAUUUGGAGAGUUGGUGUGAAGAUUCAUUGUUUGGAGAAAGAGUGCAGCGUCUGUCAUGGCCAGGAGCUUAUUUUUAGGCCAUUUGAAAUUUUAAUUUCUUUAGUAGGUGCAUGUGUCAUGUGAAUUGGUAGAAGAAAAAUGGUGUUGUUUAUUUCUUUAGUUUUAAAUUAUUUUACAUUGUAUUUUGAGUUGUUCUUUGUCUUCCUAAUUUAGUGUUGCAUUUUAAUAGCUUUCACUAUGUUUAGAUAUUUAUAUAUUGCAUUGUUCAUUUUCUUUAUCUGGUCAUUAUGUUUGGUUUCUUUAUCUUUCUGCAUUUCCAAUUUCCACACUCUCUUNAGAGAUUGUUAGGUCUCAAUGUAGAACCAUUCGGUCAUCUGUAGGACCGUUCAGUCUUCAUAUUUUGUUCAUUUAUUUCAAUGUUUUCAAUUAUGUUUGAUUGUAUUUACUUUUCAGUUUUAAUUUAGUUUAAUUCUCCUUCAAUAACACUUUCAAACCCCCCCUUCAUGUCUGACCUGAUUCUCGAACCACAUUUGGUCCUUGAGAGACGACCUAGGAGUCACAUUCCUAGCUAUACUGCAUUUCUCAUAUGCAAUCAAAUUUGUACGGGCCGCGACACCCAUCAUGAACCUUCACUAGCACACAAAGGGAGAUGUGUGCAGUCCUAUAACCCUCAUUUUUGCUUAAUAAAAUCAAGCACCUUGUACAUAUCACUACAUUCUUUUUUCUUUCUUCCUUUGUUGGUCAUUGUUUUUGUCAUUUUUGUGGAUUGUAGUCAAGAACUGAUAAAGUUGUGACUACCUUAUGGUAAAAAUGGAAGUGAACAUGGGAUUUUGAGUCAAAGGGGCAUUCAAAUUUAGACUUUUUGAAGAAAAGCAUACGCAUUGAAGUCAAGGGGGCCAAUAUCGGUCACUUAGACCUUGAAAAAUGCAUUCAGGAAGGAGUGUGAGUUUGUUGAUUUGUUUAGGGGUGGAGAUCUAAACAUUAAGCAAUCUUUGCUUUAGCCCAGUACUAUGACCCAUUCCCAAUUGAUGCCAACAGUGGAGGAAUUUGAGCAGACCUUCGAUGUAUUUCUCAAGAGAAGCGCUUCCUACAACUACCUCGGUCAAUAUACCCCUGUCUCCCAGCUAGUGAGAAUCACUUUCUAUGAAGUUGGAAAACGAAUUUGUACUUAAGGGUAAAGUGAACGAUGUUCCUCAAGGAUACCUAGAGUGGUACUUGUAUUGCUUGGCUAAGGAAGAAAAAUGGGGAACACUCAUGAGUGUACUGACUCUUAUCCAACAUAAUGUCAUUCUCUUUCCUAAUACCAGGGAGUUGGUCGAUUGCGCUGCCUUGAAUGUCACAUGUCUUGUGGAGAAGCUACUACAGCGUAGACCAGAGAUCAAAGGGGCAAAUGCAUGAGCGCAACUUUAUGCAAGAUCAUGUAUUGCACACCAUUGCGGGAAUUACUGUAAUGUCCCCCUCAUGGGUAUCCAUUGUUAUGUGUGCGUCAAAAAAAAGAGAGAAAAAAAAAAAGAGAAAAAGAAAAAGAAACAAAAAAAGAAGGAAAAAAAAAACAACAAAAAAAAGACGAAAGAAAAAACAACAAAAAAAGAAGAAAAAAAUAAUUUGGGUAUCCUGUGAGAGGGUCGCCAACACCUGCACCUUUUGCCACAUUGCUGAUCUUCUGAGGAAGGAACCUUUACUGAAAUGCUUGGGGACGAUGUUGUUCGCUUCGAAGAGAGGCCCAAGAUCAUGGACUGUUAAUGAAAGAUUCCCUUAACCAAUGAAUCGCAAAAAGGGUCAAGACAAUCAAGUUGUCAUUCAAGCUAUUUUCCCCUUACCUAAAUUGUGAAAAAUAAUUGCACGAUGCUAAGCAGCGUUUGAAAGCAGUAGUGACGAAAUUGGAGAAGGAAUUUUGGCAUUGAGAAUUGAUGACUCAGAUGCAAGCGGGCAUAUUGUUGAAUAAGACCGAGUUACAAAGAAUUGGAAGAGAAGUCUCUCACAACUAGCUUCCUGUGCUAAUGGAACCAUUGAAGUCGUCCCUAAGUUAUUAGCUGAUAUUGAGUAUGUGGUGUCGGUCUUUAACCCGCUUAAGGGGAUUAAAGUUUUCCUCGUUUGCUACAAGAAACUGAUCAUAGAAAUGAAGAAGGUGAUGGCGAAGGCCCCAAGGUAGUUGCCAAGACUUCCUAUGCCUCAAAUUUUGGGAACUUGUGAAUGACGAACCAUCCUAUUGACUCUGUUUCGUGUUAAUUUCCAAAUUAUACCGGGG